UACGUAGGGACCAAGCGUUGUUCGGAUUUACUGGGCGUAAAGGGCGCGUAGGCGGCGUGUUAAGUCAGCUGUGAAAUCUCCAGCUUAACUUGGAACGGUCAGCUGAUACUGAUGUGCUAGAGUGCAGAAGGGGCAAUCGGAAUUCUUGGUGUAGCGGUGAAAUGCGUAGAUAUCAAGAGGAACACCUGAGGUGAAGACGGGUUGCUGGGCUGACACUGACGCUGAGGCGCGAAGGCUAGGGUAGCAAACAGG
rnacentral:rRNA from 1 species